UCUCACAUCUGCAUUCUCCACCCAAACGUCCACCGACCUUUUUUCUUCCUUUAUCUUCUCUCUCUUUCUUCCUUCAUCCUCUCAAUACAUAUUUGGACUGACUCUUUAUUUGUUAAUAAUCAAGCCGAGAAAAGAUCUAAGUAUAUGAACCACUCAAUCAAAAGGGAAGAAUUACGACAAGCUCUACUUAACAUCAUAACAAAUACUUCAUUAGAUAUGAAACAACGUUAAAUACACAUCAUGUGUACAUGUAUCUAGUUAAGAGUAAAUGUAUCUGAGUUAAGAUUAUAUGUAUUUAUGAGAAAAAAUUUUAGAUCCUAAAAAAAAAAGAAUGUUAAAUUUUUUACUUCUUUGGAUCAAUGACAAGACAUACUCAUUCCAUAUUUAGA